CGUCUUGAAACACGGACCAAGGAGUCUAGCAUGUGCGCGAGUCAUUGGGAUUAGCGAAACCUAAAGGCGCAAUGAAAGUGAAGGUCAGCCUUGCGCGGACCGAGGGAAGAUGGGCGCUGCGUCCUGCGAAGGCGCGCACGUCCCGCACUCCCGGGGCGUCUCGUUCUCAUCGCGAGAAGAGGCGCACCCAGAGCGUACACGCUGGGACCCGAAAGAUGGUGAACUAUGCCUGGUCAGGACGAAGUCAGGGGAAACCCUGAUGGAGGUCCGUAGCGAUUCUGACGUGCAAAUCGAUCGUCGGAACUGGGUAUAGGGGCGAAAGACUAAUCGAACCAUCUAGUAGCUGGUUCCCUCCGAAGUUUCCCUCAGGAUAGCUGGCGCUCGUCUUGUACGAGUCUCAUCCGGUAAAGCGAAUGAUUAGAGGCAUUGGGGUCGAAACGGCCUCAACCUAUUCUCAAACUUUAAAUGGGUGAGAUCUCCGGCUUGCUCGAACUGUUGAAGCCGCGAGACACGGAUCAGAGUGCCAAGUGGGCCAUUUUUGGUAAGCAGAACUGGCGCUGUGGGAUGAACCAAACGCCGAGUUAAAGCGCCUAAAUCGACGCUUAUGGGAUACCAUGAAAGGCGUUGGUAACUUAAGACAGCAGGACGGUGGCCAUGGAAGUCGGAAUCCGCUAAG
rnacentral:rRNA from 1 species